rnacentral:rRNA from 1 species
ACGGGAGGCAGCAGUGGGGAAUAUUGCACAAUGGGCGCAAGCCUGAUGCAGCAACGCCGCGUGAGGGAUGACGGUUUUCGGAUUGUAAACCUCUGUCUUUGGUGACGAAGCAGUGACGGUAGCCAAGGAGGAAGCCACGGCUAACUACGUGCCAGCAGCCGCGGUAAUACGUAGGUGGCAAGCGUUAUCCGGAAUUACUGGGUGUAAAGGGAGCGCAGGCGGGACAGCAAGUCAGCGGUGAAAUGUAUGGGCUCAACCCAUGAACUGCCGUUGAAACUGUUGUUCUUGAGUGGAGUAGAGGUAGGCGGAAUUCCGAGUGUAGCAGUGAAAUGCGUAGAUAUUCGGAGGAACACCAGUGGCGAAGGCGGCCUACUGGGUUCUAACUGACGCUGAGGCUCGAAAGUGUGGGGAGCAAACAGGAUUAAAUACCCUGGUA